rnacentral:rRNA from 1 species
GACGAACGCUGGCGGCGUGCUUAACACAUGCAAGUCGAACGGAAAGGCCCUGCUUGCAGGGUACUCGAGUGGCGAACGGGUGAGUAACACGUGGGUGAUCUGCCCUGCACUUCGGGAUAAGCCUGGGAAACUGGGUCUAAUACCGGAUAGGAGCCAUUUUUAGUGUGAUGGUUGGAAAGUUUUUUCGGUGUAGGAUGAGCUGGCGGCCUAUCAGCUUGUUGGUGGGGUAAUGGCCUACCAAGGCGGCGACGGGUAGCCGGCCUGAGUGGGUGGACGGCCACAUUGGGACUGAGAGACGGCCCAGACGCCGACGAGAGGCAGCAGUGGGGAAUAUUGCACAAGGGGCGCAGGCCUGAUGCAGCGACGCCGCGUGUGGGAUGACGGCCUUCGGGUUGUAAACUCCUGUCGCUAGGGACGAAGCUUUUUGUGACGGUACCUAGAGAAGAAGCACCGGCUAACUACGUG